rnacentral:rRNA from 1 species
CCUACGGGCGGCAGCAGUGAGGAAUAUUGGUCAAUGGACGAGAGUCUGAACCAGCCAAGUAGCGUGAAGGAUGACUGCCCUAUGGGUUGUAAACUUCUUUUAUAUGGGAAUAAAACGCUCCACGUGUGGGAUUUUGUAUGUACCAUAUGAAUAAGGAUCGGCUAACUCCGUGCCAGCAGCCGCGGUAAUACGGAGGAUCCGAGCGUUAUCCGGAUUUAUUGGGUUUAAAGGGAGCGUAGGUGGAUUGUUAAGUCAGUUGUGAAAGUUUGCGGCUCAACCGUAAAAUUGCAGUUGAAACUGGCAGUCUUGAGUACGGUAGAGGUGGGCGGAAUUCGUGGUGUAGCGGUGAAAUGCUUAGAUAUCACGAAGAACUCCGAUUGCGAAGGCAGUUCACUGGACUGCAACUGACACUGAGGCUCGAAAGUGUGGGUAUCAAACAGGAUUAGAUACCCUUGUAGUC